AAAAAAAAAAACAAAAUCAAGUAGUCUUAGCUCAAACCCAUUUCAUGCCACGCAGAUGCAGCCUGACAAUACACACAAUGUAGAUAAACAAAUGAAAAGAAAGUGGGAAAUUGAGAAGCAGAACAGAACAUAAACAAAAUCACAAAGCCUUAGCUCAAACCCAUUUUAUGCCAUUGCCUGACCCCUUUGAAUUAUUUAUUCAAACCACGCAAAAUGCAGCCUGGCAAUACACACAAAGUAGAUA